AUUGAACGCUGGCGGCAUGCUUUACACAUGCAAGUCGGACGGCAGCACAGAGAAGCUUGCUUCUUGGGUGGCGAGUGGCGAACGGGUGAGUAAUAUAUCGGAACGUACCGAGUAAUGGGGGAUAACUAAUCGAAAGAUUAGCUAAUACCGCAUAUUCUCUGAGGAGGAAAGCAGGGGACCUUCGGGCCUUGCGUUAUUCGAGCGGCCGAUAUCUGAUUAGCUAGUUGGUGGGGUAAAGGCCUACCAAGGCGACGAUCAGUAGCGGGUCUGAGAGGAUGAUCCGCCACACUGGGACUGAGACACGGCCCAGACUCCUACGGGAGGCAGCAGUGGGGAAUUUUGGACAAUGGGCGCAAGCCUGAUCCAGCCAUGCCGCGUGUCUGAAGAAGGCCUUCGGGUUGUAAAGGACUUUUGUCAGGGAAGAAAAGGCUGUUGCUAACAUCGACAGCUGAUGACGGUACCUGAAGAAUAAGCACCGGCUAACUACGUGCCAGCCGCCGCCGUAAUAC
rnacentral:rRNA from 1 species